UUUUAUAUUUUUUGCCUCACCCUCACACACAUUGACCAAAAUUUUACUCCCUAAAAAAAAAAAAAAAAAAAAAAAAAAACACCGUUUCAGACUUUCAGUGGGUAAGUUCUUUAACUGUCUCUUUAUAUAUUCUCAAUUUCACUUCAAUUGUGCCUUUGCUUUUGUUUUUCCCUUUCAGUCCACCGUUAAGCACAGAACCUCUACCCUCUACCCUUCUCUCAAACACAGACCCAAGUUAUUUCGCAGAAAGCUUGCAAGGGCAUGACUAUGGGUUCCAACGUUUUCAAUCUCCAACCCGGCCUCCAUAUCAGACCGUUCUCUCUCGGUUUUUCUCAGGAAAAUCUUACAAUUCAAUUGCUUCCUUCUCUACCAGAUCGCUUGCUAUUAGGUACGUUUCUUCUCCUCCUCCUCUUAUAUCUGAAUUUAUUUAUUUAUUUAGUUUUGUUUUACCACUGAUUCAAGAUCAGGUAUUAUGUUUAAGGAUCUCUUGCUUCUAUUUUUUUUCCCUUUUUGAUUGAUUUCACAUAGUCCCAAAAAACUUCCCACAAAAUCCCCUAAGCAGAAGUCAAGGGCUGUCUUUUUCUAGUGGGUAUGUGUUUCUUAUUUGAAUAUAAAUUGUGGGAAUUAUUGUUGGUUGAAGAUUGGUCAUAAGCAUUGGUUUCUAGGAUCAUUUAUGAGAAACCCAAAUAGAUUUUUUGUUGUGUUUUGUUUGAUUCUUUGUUUUGUUUGAUUUGUGUUGAGUUAAGGAAUUGUUUUAGUUUCCCUAUUAAUGCUUUGGGAUAUCAUAUAAACUUCAAUUUCUUUUUUUUUGGCCUAUGAAUAUUGAUACAGGAAAAAACUGCCAAUUAAUGAGGAAAAACAAGGCAAAGGUGAUGUAGUAAGAACAUGUGGGUGUGGUCGUAACAAAAUGUUUGCUCUACUCUUUGCCCUCUUCUACUACACUCCAAUAUCUAACCCAAGUAUAGUUUUUUUGUUAUCUUUUUUGUUACCUGAUUUGUUUUUAAAAAAAUUUCCGGAAGUAGUUUAGGUAGUCUAAUGUUGGUUCCUUAAAUUUUACUUGAUGUAUCAAUAUGUUUUUGAAUUGUGAAUUCCAUUAUUCUAAAUAUGUCUUAGAUACUGGAAAUUAUGGUUCCCUCAAUUUUCAACACCUGAAGAUUAACCAAGUGCUAUUUCUCGGUUAUAUCUGCUAGGAGUUCAACAUAAUGCCUCUAAGAGCAGCUGGUAUUACUUGGCAUUUUUGCAUCUACGUAAGUUAAAAGUCUGUACAUGUGUUGGGAUAAUAGUGUAGAUGAACUGUCAUAAACUAUCUGAUGAUUACCCACUAAAUUCUAUAUUUAUGUUUAAUAUCUUAGACGUUGUUACAUUCUGCUUUAUGCAGAUUAGGGAUGUGCUGACUUGGGUUUGAAUGUUGGAAAUUUAAUUGUUUGGACUAUUUGAUGUGCUUAUUCCCACUCCUUUUGAUUUAUGUUAGGAUUGUGCAUUUUUGGUUUUAUGCUAUUUUUUAAUGUUGAAAUUUUCUUUAUAAAUAGAUAUAAAUCAUGUCAGAUGUCAAAACUCAUGUGCACAUUAGUCCUCAAACCUCAGUUGGUUGCAGCUUAACUGUAAUGAGGUGGUGGCAAGUCAGUUGGUUUACAUGGUUUUUCUGCAAUUGAUAGAUGAUAGAUCAUGACCCAAUUUGCAUAUAAGCAUGCAACAAUAGACUUUAGGAUUUCACCUGAGGCAGUUCAGUUUAUUAAUAUAGCACUUCAUUGCAACAUAUUUGGAUUUAGAAAAACGCAAGGGUGUUUAGUGGCAAAGUAUUAUAAGAGGAGGCUAUGCUGUAUUUGUUCAAUUGUAACGUGUUUAGUUUGUCAUGGGCAUAAUUUUUGGGUGAAUUCAUGUUAUAGUCUCUUUAAUACUAUUUUGUCAAAAAGUUUUUCUCUUUCCAAGUUUUUGUUUUCUUUUCAUAUUAAGUCAUGUUUUCUCUUUAUAAUGUUAGGUAUAAAGAAAAAGGCAAGUUAAAUUCUAUCACAAGUCUCUAAUAUGCCAAUAGACCUUCGCAUCGCUAUGCUUUUUGUUGUUGCUCUUUGGAAUCAUCAUUUAACUUUGCCUUGACGUAAAAAAUUACAUUACAUCAUACAAAAAUACAAUUCAUCUGUAAAUCAGUUUGUGUAAUUUUAGGUUAUUUAUGAUGGAUAAGAUUUAAAACUGUAGCGGUCAUUGAUUUGGGCAUAGAACAGAGCCUUGAAGUUGAGUAGUUAUUAUAUAUCUUCAAUUAGGUUUUUUUGUGUGAGUGUGUGUGUGUGUGUGUGUGUUUGAAAGGCCUAAGAGUUGGCCUGGUGAUUAAUUUAUUUGGCUGAAAAAUUAAUUUAUAUUGAUGUAGAUUGUUUCAGUGAUAUAUAUGAGCUGUUUGUUGCGGAUAGUUUUGUUUAUGGGGUUCAAUAAAAAUUUUAGGCACAGUUGACUUGAUGCUAAAUAGUUAUUGGGUUUUGUUUGAGAAAAUCUUUAGAUUUUUUGUUGUUAUUGUGAUUGACUUCUUUUCUUUUCUUUUUUUAAUCUUUUCUUUCGGUUGAUGCUGAUUACUAUCUUGAUUUAAUUGAUGAAGUCUUGAAACACACAUAUUUUUACUCAAUGAGGUGCUAUACUGAUAGCAUAUAUUAUUGAUAAAGCAGUGGAGCUUGUAGCACAAUCUAGAGAUAGUAAUGGUUAAUGGGUUAAUGUUGUGGUGUAACUGCCAAAACUCCCACUUGGAUCUUUAAGGGAGCCUUUGAGUUGACUGCACUGAAACAGGCAGAUGUUGCUGUCAUCAAUAAUGCAGAUUUGGUAUGCAACAUGACUGACCUUUUUUAGUUUCCCUUUUUAAUUUUGCUUCAAUGGACAUUGCUCAUUUUGAUCAGCAUGUAUUUAGUUACUUGAAUUCUGUCAGAUGCAAACUUACUUUUAAAACAUAAUUGGUAUGCUGUUGAAAUAAUUAAGGCUGAAGUUUAAUCUUGGGUUUGAGAUACAAUCAUAUCUAUGCAGAUAAUCUUUUACUCUAAUUUUUCCCCCUAAUAUUAAAGCAGCAUUUUUGUAGUUUUGCAUGUGUAAAUUUUAGGUUAUUUAUGAUGGAUAGGAUUUAAAAUUGUAGUGGUCAUUGAUCUGAGCAUUUGUUUGAUAUGAGUAGGAGGUUUAAAAUUUUAGAACUUUUACCUUGGUCUUUUCAUAAUUUUUCUUGGAGUCAAAGUGGUGUGCGGUUAGUUUUGAGAAUAUUAUUUCCUUAGGAAUUUCUAGAUAUUGAUAUGAAAGCCAUUUUAGUAGUUGUGUCUCUAUUUAAUGAUACCUUUAUUUGCUUAUAUCCCACUUUGAACUCCUUUUUCUUUUUUUUAAAAUUAUUAGUUUAUUACAUACCUUGUGUUGGUUUUAAAACUAACGCUUGACGGUUAGUUUUAUGUCAUUAGUGUGUUACCUAAGCUUUUGAUGAUAGAUGUGUCUUUUUCUACUAACAGUUUCUAAUGGAUUUACUCAAAAAAAAAAAAAAAAAAAAAAAAAAACAGAUUAUACUUGGAUUAGCAGCCUAUAUACUUCUCUUUAUUUGUUGUGAUUGGUGACAUUAAGUAACAACCACAUCUUAACAUCAAUUAUAUACUAUUUUGUUCUACCAAAUAAAAUUACUGAUUUGAGUUGUCUUUCUUUGUCAUAGGGGUUAGUUAAUAUAUUGAUUGGCUUUCAUUAUGUCACUAUUGAUACCAAACUAAAGGUCAUAUAUUCUUCCUGGUAUUUUUUUUUUAAUUUAAAAUUUUGUGCGUCAAAUAUUGUUAAAUAUAGUAUAUAUUUUCUUUAACAAAUAUGAUCUAGGUUUGGGUAUUUUCUUGAGGCAUUUGGAUUAGAUAAGGUAUAAAGGUUAGAUUUGGUUAUGUUUUAUAUAUUUAUUUGUGUUAGAUUUUGUUUGGUUCACCAAACCAUGUGACUUGCUUCAAAAUUGUACAUUCCGUGUGUAAUGCAAUUGAGAAGGAUACAUAUUAAGUCAACUUUACAUACAUACUAAACAAACUGUAGGUAUGGAAAUAAACAUUACCUUUAUGAACUGUAAGUGCAAUAGAGAUAAUUACCAUUGCAAUAAACAUUAUCAUUAUUUGUGUUGCCUUUGAUUCCAUUUGGAAUUCAUUGAUUUUUUGUAGAUAAGCUUUGGCUUUGCUGAAAAUUUUUUCAACUAAUAAAAUGGUCCAACCUGAUAUGAUCUUUUGUACUAAUUUCUUAAAUAAGUGAUUGUGUCUAAUGUUUCACCAAAUUAUUUGACCCAUGGAAGAUUGGGGCUAUAUCAGAUCUCUAUGUUGGUGUUUCAGCUCUGCAUGAAGCUGCAAGCAAGUUCAUUUUAUAGAUAUCAUAUCAUAUGCCAAGGCUUGGCAUCUUCAAGGGAUUUUUUUUUUCCCUGUUGGAUCUAAAUGCAAAAAAUGUAUUAUUGCAUAGUUAUAUUUCUUUUCUACCUGCUGUAGUGUGCAUAUAUUGCACAUUUUUAUUUGAAAUUGUUACUGCUUUCUAGGCAAAGAUUUUUGUAUGGCUAUGAUUCAAGAAGUGGUACAAAUUCAAAAUAUUGUUAUCUUCCUUCA